GGUAAACCACAGCUCCCAGUAUUCACCACUGUGUGUAGUCUCCUCCCACACUGACUCUGGGCUUGGUCAGCUGACAAGCUUUGGCCAAUAGGGCUCUAGCAAGAAGAUGCCAGCAGAGGCUUGAAAAGUGCCUACCCCUGGCCUGGGAUGCUUCCUCCUGGGAUGCUCCCACUUGGAACCCAACUAUUGUGCUGCAGAAGUUUAACUUAACUGUGUAAGGAGGCCAAGAGGAGGCCCUGGCUGCCAGCCAGCAUCAACUUCCAGUGACGUGAGUGUGCCAUUCUGGAACUGGAUCCUGCAGCCUCGGUGGAGCAGCCUCAGCUGAUGCCAUGUGGAACAGAGAUGAACUGCCGCUGCCGAGCUCUGCCCACGUUGCAGAAUCAUGAGCAAAUAUGUUGUGGAUUGGCUGUAACUCUGCUCUGGGAUCCAGGCUGAAGGAGCAGGCUCUAUCUGGAACAUUACUAGUCUCCAGGCAGAAGAAAAAGAGACAAUGGCCUACCUGGAAUGCCAUGCUCCCUCACCGCCAAUGCUGCCCUACCAAAUUCAGCCCAUAGACCUUCAAAAACCAAUUCAAAUCUCCAAGAAUCCAAGUCAGAAGAAAUUGCUGCCUCCUCUGAAUAAUUAUUGCUGACACUGAUUGCACUCUGUGCUUAUUGCUCAGUCCUUUGAGUUAUCUCGUCAAUAUUUCCCAUUUGUCCUAUAUCCAUCCCCACCUAGGAAUGAAUGGGACUUCAUGAUUCUGUCUUUCUAGUAUUAGAUGUCUUGCUCAGUAAAAAAUGUUUACUGUCUUGUAAAUUAAUUUAAAUAUAUGGUAAAAUAAUAUAGGGGUCUCUGGAAAGAUGGAAAUUGUUUGUUAUUGUUUUUGAGACGGAGUCUCACUCUGUUGCCCAGGCUGCAGUGCAAUGGUGUAAUCUCAGUGCAAUCUUGGCUCACUGCAACCUCCGCCUACCAGGUUCAAGCGAUUCUCCUGCCUCAACCUCCCAGGUAGCUGGAAUUACAGGCGCCUGCCACCACGCUGGGCUAAUUUUUGUAUUUUAAGUAGAGACGGAGUUUCACCAUGUUGGCCAGGCUGGUCUCGAGCUCCUGACCUCAAGUGAUCCACCCGCCUGGGCCUCCCAAACUGCUGGGAUUACAGGUGUGAGCCACUGUGCCCGGCCUGUUUUUGUUUUUUUGUGGGUUUUUUGUAGUUGUUGUUAUUUUUUUACACUGCAUCUCGCCUUCUCCGGAAAUAGUUUUAAAAUAGCUCAAUAACAUAAAAUUAUGUAGGAAAGGGUGUAUGAUGAGCUUAUUUAAUGCACAAGUUUUAUCGACUGUUUUGCAAUUAAUAGUAUGAAAAACUCAAUUUUUAUUUCUGUAAUUAAGAAUGACAUCAGGAAGAGGAAUGCAUGGUGACUAAGAAGAAGUCAUCAUUAGCCAGUCACCUGUCAGAUAUUCUGUAUGUAUCUGAUUAUAAGAUUAGAACACUUUUUCAUCUGUGUGUGUGCGCGCGUGCACGUGCGUGUAUGUGUGUUUGUGUGUUUCAUGAGCAUUUUUAGUACUGGGUCCUAUAUAUGUAAGUAUAAAUAUUACCAUAAAAUUUAUCAACCAAAUUGGGACUAUUUGAGAGUCACCUGGUGGGAGGGAGGGCACUAUUAAAAUUUUGCCAGGACAACAUACAUAAGCCAGGAGUGUUCAUCUUAUGAUUUUACUAUAGACAACUCACAUAUAGCUUAAGAAAGCAGCUCAAAUCACAGACAAGAUUAUUUUUCAUGAUCGUUUUCACUGGCCACCAGAAAGCCUUUUCUAAUAACAAAAGGACCACAUUUUUGAAUUUCAUCAUAGUUUGUCCUCAUGGAACUAUUGCAUGCUGGGACUUAAAGCCUCUAAACAAACUUCAUCUCCAUUACCAAUAAGAAGCCAGACAGUCGACCUGGUAACAGGACAUUCUGAACCUCCUUCCUAGACUGCAUGCAGACUGCACCGGCUGUGACAAUAAAGCCACAAUAUUGGAUCCCUCAGACUGCACCAUGUCAUGACUGCAGGAAUACUUUAUGAACCUCCAGGCUGCAGCUUUUACUAUUAUUCUCUUAGCCUCAUCCUUUCCAUUUCCCUCACAGUGAUUACACUGAUGAGGUCUAGUCUCAAAAACCUUAACUCGGUCCUCAAACCGUUUUUGGUAACCAUAUUCGAAAGGAAAAGUUUCUCGCACCAGGUGGUGAGAUUUUGCUAGUGUAAAAAAAAAAAAAAAAAAAAUCCUGCAUGUGUUGGAGAGUGUGUAUAUAGGAACUGUCUGUACUUUCCACUUAAUUUUGUUAUAAACCUAAAACUAUUUAUUUAUUUAGAGACAGAGUCUCCCUCUGUUGCCCAGGCUGGAGUGCAGUGGUACGAUCUUGGUUCACUGCAUCCGCCGCCUCCUAGGUUCAAGCGAUUCUCCUGCCUCAGCCUCCCAAGUAGCUGGGAUUACAGGCACACGUCACCACACCCAGCUAAUUUUUGUAUUUUUAGUAGAGACGGUGUUUCGCCAAUUGACCAGACUGGUCUCAAACUCCUGGCUUCAAGUGAUCCGCCCACCUCAGCCUCCCAAAGUGUUGGGAUUACAGGCAUGAGCCACGGCGCCUGGCCCUAAAACUGCUUUAAAAAAU
rnacentral:lncRNA from 10 species